rnacentral:tRNA from 1 species
GGCUUGUUGGUCUAGGGGAAGGAUUCUCGCUUUGGGUGCGAGAGGUCCCGGAUUCAUUCCCGGACGAGCCC